GAUUUCUGGUCUAGUAUCACUUGACCCGUCAUGGUCACAUGAUUGUGUGUCGAUGUGUACUUACCAUCCUUCUAGAACAUUUUUUAUCAUUCUUUAUUGAAUGUAUGAAAAAUUGUACUAGAUCUUUUACUUUGAAAAAAUUAGAGUGUUUAAAGCAGGCAUUGUUUGCUAUGAAUACAUUAGCAUGGAAUAAUAAUUUAGGACUUUGGUCUUAUUUUGUUGGUUUCUAGGACUAAAGUAAUGAUUGAUAGGGACAGUUGGGGGUGCUAGUAUUCAGCGGCCAGAGGUGAAAUUCUUGGAUUCGCUGAAGACUAACUUAUGCGAAAGCAUU
rnacentral:rRNA from 1 species